rnacentral:misc_RNA from 1 species
GUGAAUCAUCGAAUUUUUGAACGCAAAUUGUACUCUCCUCUGAGAGUAUGCCUGUUUGAGGGUCAGCCUAAAAAAAAAUCGACAUCGUUGCUUUUUCUUGGUGACGUUAGUUGGAAUUUGGGUCUUCUUAAACCUUUUGGUUUUUAAGUGACUUAAAUUUUGCUUUUGACCCCUUGAAGGUUUCUAAGUUUUUUAUCUUAACACGUUUAAUGGUAUCUAUUUUAUUAGACGUUGCCGUCAUAUCGGAUCGCGUCCAUAAUCUUCCAUUAACUGUCCUCA